ACAUUUAUUCAAUAAAGUUUAAUCAACAAUAAAAAAUUUAAAUAAAAAUUCGAAAUACUUAAACAUAUUUCAAUGUCCCGCAACUCCCAGGACCCGCUGACGAUAACGACCGGAAAAGACACCCUGUCGGCCGCUGCAACCCUCAACCGGAAGAUGGAUUUGGGGAUUUAGGGAAGUGUGAAUUUUAAUUUGGAGAAAAUAUUAAAAAAAAUUGUAUAAUUAUAUAAUGUAAAAUUUGUAAGUCAACCCUCCUAAAAUAUCAAUAUAGUGUAAAAAUUAUAUUGAACUCCCUAUAUAAAUAUAAAAUACAUAUAGGUCCUUUUAAAAUUGCCAAAUUUUAGGGGGGAUUGCCCUCCCUUGCCCUUAGCUGGAUACACCACUGCUCUCAACCAAAGUAAAACACACAUUAAAAAUGAUUAGAAAAGUAGAAUAUUAAGUAUAAAACACUUCUUACUUUUUUAGAUGAACAAGAAGAUUAAAAGAAAAAGUGGAGAGCUUUUAAAGAUUUUAAAAGCUUGAUCACUUGAGAAACUUGGGAGCUUGGAAGCAAGGAAGCUUUUGAACACUUGAAGAUCUCAAAUGAAAGAGUGGAAGCUCAAACUUAUGCAAUGUAUGUGAUGGCCGAAAAUGAGAGAGUUUC
rnacentral:lncRNA from 1 species